rnacentral:lncRNA from 1 species
AGUUCUGUGUCGCUAGGCUUCUGCCCGGCCGCCGCCGCACAUAAGCCACGAGGAGGAGCUUUACGACUUCCCGGUCUUCGGCGCCGGGCGCAGCAAGGGCCAGACUCUGCGCUAGCAGGCGCUGCGCGCCAACCGGCCGGCACCUGUCGCAGAAGGUGCAACCGAUCGCACUGUCGCGCAGAAGCUCCUCAAUGGCCAGCGCCAGCUGCAGCCCCGGCCGCCCACUCGCCUCAUCUGAGCCUGGGUAUUCUAAUAAUACUGCGUGACAUUACGGACAACUUAGCCUAAAUUAUGGAAAAUCAAAUUAUUUAGUAGAACUGCAAGACAAUCCUCUCAGUUGUUGUACAGAAGGUAAGCAUGAGCAAAUUACUUUUUAGAGGUAACUUUGCUGAACUUGUGAAGAAUGGUGUGCAAGGUCCAGAGCGACUGCAGGAGAGGGAAGGUGGGAUUCCCACAGAGCAGGAGCACAGAUAAGCCAAGCAAGGCCCUGCUUGGAAGGCAGCAAUCAACAGAGAUGCACAGACCUGUGAGGGUGCCGGGACAGCCAUGCAACAAUGCAGCCCUUUUGCUUCCUGAGCUCACCAGUUCCCUCGCUCCACCUCUGAGAGGUGGUUUGGAGAAACACAGCCCUUCUCAAGAGGGCUGCAAGCUACUUAAGUCCUGAAAAUUUCCACAAGGCUGAGUCAAAUCUGCGUUUCAUCAUCUAUAAGAAAGGUACCUAUCGAGAACACCCUGCUGGCCAGUGUGUAAAUAUCUAAAGGAGGACUCAGAAAACACCGGGGAAGUCCAGCCUGCACGUGGUGGCUGGGCUUCAGUGAAGCAUGCAGCACAACAGGAGUUGUAAGUAGUAGUUACAUCAGCAGCCCUGGAAAUUCUGCUCAGAACCAAACUGAACAAAUAACAUUAUCUAAGGCUUACAAUUAUUUAACUCCCUAAAUUUUCUGUCCUCCCAGUAGCACUUUCAAAUGCCUAAAAGCAAUUAAAAGAAACAUUUUUCCAAUGUCUCACAGAACCAUUAGAAACACAAAAUUAAUAGCUUCAUAAACUAUAGCUUCUAUUUUAUCCAUAAUAGAAUGAAGGUGCAUAAACCACAUAGUAAUUAAUCUUUGGACAAAAGCAAACAAUAAAUGGAAUAUAUGGCUAAGA